rnacentral:rRNA from 1 species
CCUACGGGCGGCAGCAGUGGGGAAUAUUGGGCAAUGGGCGAAAGCCUGACCCAGCAACGCCGCGUGAAGGAAGAAGGCUUUCGGGUUGUAAACUUCUUUUGACAGGGAAGAGCAGAAGACGGUACCUGUCGAAUAAGCCACGGCUAACUACGUGCCAGCAGCCGCGGUAAUACGUAGGUGGCAAGCGUUGUCCGGAUUUACUGGGGGUAAAGGGCGUGUAGCCGGGCUGACAAGUCAGAUGUGAAAUCCGGGGGCUAAACCCCCGAACUGCAUUUGAAACUGUUGGUCUUGAGUAUCUGAGAGGCAGGCGGAAUUCCUGGUGUAGCGGUGAAAUGCGUAGAUAUUAGGAGGAACACCAGUGGCGAAGGCGGCCUGCUGGACGACAACUGACGGUGAGGCGCGAAAGCGUGGGGAGCAAACAGGAUUAGAUACCCGGGUAGUC